rnacentral:rRNA from 1 species
CCGCGGGAUUAGAGUUUGAUCAUGGCUCAGAUUGAACGCUGGCGGCAGGCCUAAUACAUGCAAGUCGAGCGGAAACGAUGGGAGCUUGCUCCCAGGCGUCGAGCGGCGGACGGGUGAGUAACGCGUAGGAAUUUGCCCAAUAGAGGGGGAUAGCCCGAGGAAACUCGGAUUAAUACCGCAUACGCCCUACGGGGGAAAGGCUGGGCUCUUCGGACCUCUCGCUUCUUGAUUAGCCCAAGUGAGAUUAGCUAGUUGGUGAGGUAAUGGCUCACCAAGGCGACGAUCUCUAGCUGGUUUGAGAGGAUGAUCAGCCACACUGGGACUGAGACACGGCCCAGACUCCUACGGGAGGCAGCAGUGGGGAAUAUUGCACAAUGGGCGAAAGCCUGAUGCAGCCAUGCCGCGUGUGUGAAGAAGGCCUUCGGGUUGUAAAGCACUUUCAGUUGUGAGGAAAGGUUGUAGUUUAAUAUGCUAUAGCUGUGACGUUAACAACAGAAGAAGCACCGGCUAACUUCGUGCCAGCAGCCGCAGUAAUACGAGGGGUGCAAGCGUUAAUCGGAAUUACUGGGCGUAAAGCGUUCGUAGGCGGUUUGUUAAGCAAGAUGUGAAAGCCCAGGGCUCAACCUUGGAACUGCAUUUUGAACUGGCAGACUAGAGUACUGUAGAGGGGGGUAGAAUUUCA